CCUACGGGAGGCAGCAGUGGGGAAUCUUGCGCAAUGGGCGAAAGCCUGACGCAGCAACGCCGCGUGCGGGAUGAAGGCCUUCGGGCUGUAAACCGCUUUCAGCAGGAACGAAAAUGACGGUACCUGCAGAAGAAGGAGCGGCCAACUACGUGCCAGCAGCCGCGGUGACACGUAGGCUCCAAGCGUUGUCCGGAUUUAUUGGGCGUAAAGAGCUCGUAGGCGGUCUAGUAAGUCGGGUGUGAAAACUCUGGGCUCAACCCAGAGACGCCAUCCGAUACUGCUAUGACUUGAGUUCAGGAGGGGAGCGGGGAAUUCCUAGUGUAGCGGUGAAAUGCGCAGAUAUUAGGAGGAACACCGGUGGCGAAGGCGCCGCUCUGGACUGAAACUGACGCUGAGGAGCGAAAGCAUGGGUAGCAAACAGGAUUAGAUACCCUGGUAGUCCAUGCCGUAAACGGUGGGCACUAGGUGUGGGUUUCAACUAACGAAAUCCGCGCCGUCGCUAACGCAUUAAGUGCCCGCCUGGGGAGUACGGUCGCGAAGACUAAAACUUAAAGGAAUUGACGG
rnacentral:rRNA from 1 species